GAUCUUCCUUUCCUUGUUGUAAGCAUAAUCCAAUAAUAGAAGGCCAAAAACAUCCUCAGCUAGUAGACAGACUAGAAUAAAAAAUAUCAGAACAUCACAGUUGGAAGGGACCUUUCAGAGGUCCUGGAGCAUGGGGAACUGUCAGAGGACUGGAAAAAAGCUGAUGUUGUUUCAACCUUCAAAAAUGAGAAAAAUGGAUCCAAGAAACUGCAGAUCAAUUAGCUUGGGAAAGACCUGGAAAAGAUAAUCAAGCAGCAGAUCUGUGAGCACCUAGCAAUGAACUAGAAGCCUACAUGGUGUUGUUAAAACUGUUCAGACAGGUUUAGACCAUCCAUGUUCUGCCCUGGAGACUGGGUACUAGUGAAAUUCUGGACUACUGAUGAUCUGCCUACCGACGAUCUGCUUUCUGAGACGUGGAAGGCCCCCUAUCUCAUUCUUCUUACCACAUCCACUACGGUCACAUUUGCCAGCAUCCGGACUUGCAUCCAUCACACCUGCCCAAAGACCUCUUUUCCACCUGCUGAUAGGGAUAAUGAUGAUUGGACUGUAGCCCCUCGUGCUGAAUAUGACCUUGGGAUGAAGCUUUUAUUCAAACAGCUGCAUUCUUGUACUGCAUGUCCAAAUGCCACCAUAUUUUAUCAGAUUGUUCCUGCUCAAUUGCCUCGUCAAUUUUUUACUCCUUUUGUUCUGUCCUUCUAAUCAUUUCCAUUUUUCACUGGGGGGGGGAAGACUAUGAGAGCUGUGAGAUAACCAAUGUACAGGUGAUUAAAAUUACCCAUUUGAAUGGUAAAAUGUUUGCUAGAUUGGUUGCCUGGGUGGAGAUGGUUUAAUGAAAUAUUCUUGGUUUUACUCUUCAUUGUUUUCCUGGUUCUCUUUUUGUGUUGCUGUCUAUGUUUUACAUUGUUGUGCAUGCAAGCUUGCCCUCAGAAGCAUAUCCAUCCCAUAGCUACACUUCCUAAGCGGUACUUCUCUGCAAUGCUCAAAGGGGGGAUUAUGUUGAUCAGGAUUCUGAUGAUUAAGAUUUGUAUACCGAAAUGAAAUGAAAUAAAAUAUAUUGCACAUGUCCCAACUAAGGGGAAGAACGAUGGGGAAACAACAACAGUUUUGAGAGAAAGGCUUGCUCAAAAUAUGUAUUGCAGUAGGAUAUGGGCACAGUUUCAGUAACUUCUGUACUUUACUUUUGUACAAACAGCUGUAUUUCCUGCUUGUGUAACCAUGUAAGGUAUAAACGCUUGUUGAAAAAAAUCAUUCAGGACUCUUCCCAGCCUUAUGGGCAAAUCUACCCUUGUCCAGAUCUGAAUAAACAUGUAACUCAAAAA